UGGUCGCUGGCUUCUUAGAGGGACUAUCGGCGUUUAGCUGUUGGAAGUUUGAGGCAAUAACAGGUCUGUGAUGCCCUUAAAUGUUCUGGGCCGCACGCGCGCUACACUGACUGAGCCAGGGAGUCUACAACCUUGGCCGAAAGGUUUGGGUAAUCUUGUGAAACUCUGUCGUGUUGGGGAUAAAACAUUGCAAUUAUUGUUCUUCAACAAGGAAUGCCUAGAAAGCGCAAGUCUUCAGAUUGCGUUGAUUACGUCCCUGCCCUUUGUACACACCGCCCGUCGCU
rnacentral:rRNA from 1 species